rnacentral:rRNA from 1 species
GACGAAGGAUGCAAGCGUUAUCCGGAUUCAUUGGGUUUAAAGGGUGCGUAGGCGGACCUGUAAGUCAGUGGUGAAAUCUCUUCGCUUAACGAAGAAACUGCCAUUGAUACUGCAAGUCUAGAGUAUAGAUGACGUUGGCGGAAUAUGACAUGUAGUGGUGAAAUACUUAGAUAUCGUCAAGAACACCGAUAGCGAAGGCAGCUUACUAGACUGUAACUGACGCUGAGGCACGAAAGUGUGGGGAUCAAACAGG